CAUCGGUGACAGGUGGUGCAUGGUUGUCGUCAGCUCGUGUCGUGAGAUGUGGUUAAGUCCCGCAACGAGCGCAACCCCUAUUGUUAGUUGCCAUCAUUCAGUUGGGCACUCUAGCGAGACUGCCGGUAAUAAACCGGAGGAAGGUGGGGAUGACGUCAAAUCAUCAUGCCCCUUAUGACCUGGGCUACACACGUGCUACAAUGGUUGGUACAACGAGUUGCGAGUCGGUGACGGCGAGCUAAUCUCUUAAAGCCAAUCUCAGUUCGGAUUGUAGGCUGCAACUCGCCUACAUGAAGUCGGAAUCGCUAGUAAUCGCGGAUCAGCACGCCGCGGUGAAUACGUUCCCGGGCCUU
rnacentral:rRNA from 1 species